rnacentral:rRNA from 1 species
AACGAACGCUGGCGGCAUGCCUAACACAUGCAAGUCGAACGAGACCUUCGGGUCUAGUGGCGCACGGGUGCGUAACGCGUGGGAACCUGCCCUUAGGUUCGGAAUAACUCCCCGAAAGGGGUGCUAAUACCGAAUAAUGUCUUCGGACCAAAGAUUUAUCGCCUUUGGAUGGGCCCGCGUAGGAUUAGCUAGUUGGUGGGGUAAAGGCCUACCAAGGCGACGAUCCUUAGCUGGUCUAAGAGGAUGAUCAGCCACACUGGGACUGAGACACGGCCCAGACUCCUACGGGAGGAAGCAGUGGGGAAUAUUGGACAAUGGGCGAAAGCCUGAUCCAGCAAUGCCGCGUGAGUGAUGAAGGCCCUAGGGUUGUAAAGCUCUUUUACCAGGGAUGAUAAUGACAGUACCUGGAGAAUAAGCUCCGGCUAACUCCGUGCCAGCCGCCGCGGUAACAC